rnacentral:tmRNA from 1 species
GGGGCUGACUGGUAUUGACAGGAAAGAAAAUCGAUCAGUAAGCAUGCCGGAGCAAUGAUGAUUCACUCCGUUAAUAAAUGAUCGUCAACCUAAAUAUAGAUGGCAACAAUAGAUAUGCCAUGGCUGCCUAAUUCAAGGAGUUAGUAAGCCUUUGUGCCUUACGCUUGAUGUCUGAUACACAGUGUAACGCGCAUCAUAAAACCUCAGACUGGGAAAAGCGAUCGCUUCGCCAAUUUUCCGAGACAACAGAAGCUAAGGAGAUGGACGGUUUGUUUCAGAACCAAUCCUGAUCCCGACAAUAUAAUCUGAAAAUAAGCAUGUAGAAAGCUUUUUGGUGCUUUGUCUGGACCCGGGUUCGAAACCCGGCAGCUCCACUU